GUUCUUAGCAUUUUUGAGAGCUGAUGAAAUGGCAACCUUCAAAGAGGAGUGGGAAACUGUUCUCGAUGAACUGGAGACUGAAAGUGCUCAUUUAUUGGAACAACUGGAUGGUGCUGGAAUUGAACUCCCUAGUCUCUAUAAGUGGAUAGAGAGUCAGGCUCCUCACGGUUGCUGCACUGAAGCAUGGAAAAAUAGGACUCAGUGGGUUGGUUCUGAGCUGACAAGUGACCUCACUGGAGCAAUUGCUGAUGCUGAGAAGUAUCUUCAAAUCCACAGACCUGUAGGAAGGAAACAUGGAAAAGUCUUGGAGGAGGGUGCCAGUGGUUUCUUGGCAAAAAAACUUGCUGGGAAUGAUGGCAGUGAGGCUCAGGGAGGGAGCAGUGGUGUAGAUUGGGGCUCUUUUAGCAAAUUAUGCUCUGAUAACUCUUCAUCAUCUAUGGGUACUACUUCAUUUGGCAGCAAAGAUUGGUCCUCUGUUUACCUUGCUAGUACACCACAGCAAGCUGCUGAGCUAGGACUAAAAUUUCCUGGAGUGGAUGAGGUUGAGGAGAUUGAUGAUAUCGAAGACAGUUCUGGUGAUCCAUUUGUUGCGGAUGCCAUUGCAAAUGAAAGAGAGUUAAAU
rnacentral:misc_RNA from 1 species